rnacentral:lncRNA from 1 species
AUCAGGAUUUUGGUAAAAUUAUGAUUUUGCCCCUGAAGAGCAAAAAGACUUUUUCAAAUGAAAAUUAUUGGUACCCCUUUAACUGCUUUGUAAUCAUCAAAAUCAAUCUAAGGAGCAACAAGAGCCAUAUCAAGAAGGAUAAGGCUCCUCUUCUUCUUGUGGAUGGGAUCUUCAAGAAGAAUGCAGGCAAAAAGGGUUCUAAAAGGAGGCUGAACCCUAAAGGUGGUAUAAAUAAGAGAAAGAAGGGAAAGAAGACCUCCAGAC